rnacentral:rRNA from 1 species
UACGAAGGGGGCUAGCGUUGCUCGGAUUUACUGGGCGUAAAGGGCGCGUAGGCGGUUCGUACAGUCAGACGUGAAAUUCCUGGGCUCAACCUGGGGGCUGCGUUUGAUACGUGCGGACUUGAGUGCGGAAGAGGGUCGUGGAAUUCCCAGUGUAGAGGUGAAAUUCGUAGAUAUUGGGAAGAACACCGGUGGCGAAGGCGGCGACCUGGUCCGAUACUGACGCUGAUGCGCGAAAGCGUGGGGAGCAAACGGG